GAUUAACGCUGGCGGCGUGCCUAACACAUGCAAGUCGAGCGGCAGCGAGUUUUACACUGACUUCUGGAAGCUUCUAGUUGAAAGAGAAGAUUUAUUCAAGAAUUUUGUGUAAAAUGUCGGCGAGCGGCGGACGGCUGAGUAACGCGUGGGAACGUACCCCAAAGUGAGGGAUAACGCAUCGAAAGGUGUGCUAAUACCGCAUAUGGUCUUCGGAUUAAAGCCUUCGGGCGCUUUGGGAACGGCCUGCGUAAGAUUAGAUAGUUGGUGGGGUAAUGGCCUACCAAGUCGACGAUCUUUAACUGGUUUGAGAGGAUGAUCAGUCAGACUGGAACUGAGACACGGUCCAGACUCCUACGGGAGGCAGCAGUGAGGAAUCUUCCACAAUGGGCGAAAGCCUGAUGGAGCAACGCCGCGUGCAGGAUGAAGGCCUUCGGGUUGUAAACUGCUUUUAUAAGUGAGGAUUAUGACAGUAACUUAUGAAUAAGGAUCGGCUAACUACGUGC
rnacentral:rRNA from 1 species